AGUCGAGGGGUAACAGGGAUUAGCUUGCUAAUUAGCUGAAGACCGGCGCACGGGUGCGUAACGCGUAUACAAUCUGCCUUAUACUGGGGUAUAGCCUUUAGAAAUGAAGAUUAAUCCCCCAUAGUCUCUUGAGAUGGCAUCAUUUUAGGAGUAAAGGUUACGGUAUAAGAUGAGUAUGCGUUCUAUUAGCUAGUAGGUAAGGUAACGGCUUACCUAGGCAACGAUAGAUAGGGGCCCUGAGAGGGGGAUCCCCCACAUUGGUACUGAGACACGGACCAGACUCCUACGGGAGGCAGCAGUGAGGAAUAUUGGACAAUGGAGGCAACUCUGAUCCAGCCAUGCCGCGUGCAGGAAGACUGCCCUAUGGGUUGUAAACUGCUUUUAUAUAGGAAGAAACCUUGGUACGUGUACCAAGCUGACGGUACUAUAAGAAUAAGGAUCGGCUAACUCCGUGCCAGCAGCCGCGGUAAUACGGAGGAUCCAAAGCGUUAUCCGGAAUCAUUGGGUUUAAAGGGUCCGUAGGUGGAUAAUUAAGUCAGAGGUGAAAUCUUGCAGCUCAACUGUAAAAUUGCCUUUGAUACUGGUUAUCUUGAGUUAUUAUGAA
rnacentral:rRNA from 1 species